rnacentral:rRNA from 3 species
UCAUAGAAUUUCUUUAAAUUCAUGAUGUCGUAAGGGAAAAUAAUGAUAAUACCUUACUAUGAGUGUCGUCCAAAUCUGGUGCCAGAAGACUCGGUAAGACCAGAGACGCAAACGUUAAUCAUCAUAAACAGGCGUAAAGGGUUUGUAGGCAGCUUUUAUAAUAUUAAAAAAAUUUUUAAUAUAAUUGAAAGCUAGAAUCAAAAAGAGGUUAUAGUGUAUAACGCCUAGAGGAGGGCUGAUAUCCGUAGAUCCUAGGCAGAAUACUCAGGGCGAAGGCCACUCUCCACUAAUGAUUGACGCUGAGAAACGAAGGUUAGGGUAGGAAAUAGGAUUAGAUACCCCGGUACUCCUUUCUGUAAACGAUGAAUGGUAGUCAUUAGUUUAAUUUAAAUAACUAGAGGCGAAGUUAACACAAUAACCAUUCCGCCUUGUGAGUACUACUGCAAAGUAGAAAACAAAAAAAUUAGUCGGUCUCGAAGCAAACGGAGUGAAGCAUGUUAUUUA